ensembl:misc_RNA 7SK 7SK RNA
AGUUGUGAGCAUACUCCAGCUAGGCCGUCUGUCACCUACCUCAUUGAUCAUUAGGGCUGAUUCAGUUGACCUGACUGGUUAUGUACGUGUCCCUGUUUUCUCUCACAUUCCAAAUAUUUUCUUCUCAAAACGUUUUUAGCCCAAAGAGUAUACACUUCCCCAACAGAAGAUUAAUAUUCUUCAGCUAUGUGUACAGGAGGAGUUGAGCACCACUACUGGAACUUUCAGAUAAUGUUCAAGGUCAUCUGCAGAGUAAUGUAGGCCUGUCACACUUUCAAGGUUCCAGUCACUUCCAAAUAAGAGACUCUGUACAGCAGUCUGCACUCU